rnacentral:rRNA from 1 species
AAUAGAUACCCUGGUAGUCCACGCCGUAAACGAUGGAUGCUAGCUGUUAUGCGUAUCGACCCGUGUAGUAGCGAAGCUAACGCGUUAAGCAUCCCGCCUGGGGAGUACGAACGCAAGUUUAAAACUCAAAGGAAUUGACGGGGACCCGCACAAGCGGUGGAGCGUGUUCUUUAAUUCGAGGCUAAGCGAAGAACCUUACCAGGGCUUGACAUCCUUGGAAUUUCUCCGAAAGGAGAGAGUACUUUAUUGGACCAAGUGACAGGUGCUGCAUGGCCGUCGUCAGCUCGUGUCGUGAGAUGUUUGGUUAAGUCCAUUAACGAGCGCAACCCUUAUGAAUAGUUGUAUUUUUCUAUUCAGACUGCCCCGGUAACGGGGAGGAAGGGGGGGAUGAUGUCAGGUCAGUAUUGCCCUUACGCCCUGGGCUAGAAACGCGCUACAAUGGCCGGUACAAUGCGCUGCCAACCCGCGAGGGGGAGCAAAUCGCAUCAAAGCCGGUCCCAGUUCGGAUAAGAGGCUGAAACUCGCCUCUUUGAAGCCGGAAUCGCUAGUAAUCGU